rnacentral:lncRNA from 1 species
CGACAUGGAGCCAGUGUGUGCUAUUGAAUUGUUGGCAAUUAUUUCUAAAAUUAAAAUGUUUAACCACAUUAACCCAUAAUAAAAUGGGGGGAGAGCUAUAGAGGUGCAACUCUUUACUGAGUAGGAUAAAUGUGCAAAUUCCUGGCAUAAUUUGUCUCAGCCACCUGCAUUGGGAGAGCCAUCUCACCUGCCUGAGAAAUGAAUUUGGGGCCCAGGGGCCUGGUGGGCCAGGAAGUCACUGAUCAAAGCUUGGCUUCCAGGCGGUGGCUGUGUCCACCAGGCACUGUGCGGGCUGGAGUUGGACUUCUACAGGUCACUGGGUUUAAGGGUGGGAUGGGAAGCACUGUCUUUGGUGUUUUCCAGAGCGGGGCACUUGAGAUGUUCAAAGUGCUUCCUGAGAGACGGCCAAAGGGUGUUCCCUGGGUGGCCUGGGAGUCCAAGAGACAUGUACUCUGGGGCAGGAAGAGGGCAGGUGAGUACCUGGCUCAGGGUCUGCUGGGAGAUGGAAGGAGGGAGCCAGUCAAGGGCAGGAGGAAACGGAGUUGCGAGUCAUCUGGUGACCGACAGUGAUUCUGGGUGACUUCCAUCCCGGCCUUAGGGAUUCCUCUGGAUAGGAUCACAGGGCUGGCUCUGGCGAGGGUACAAAAGUCCUUAGUCAUGCGCAUGUACAUCAGCACAGCUUUUCAUGGUAUACGCAUCAUCUCACUGACAGGUGCUACCGGAUCACCCUAACAACCCUCUGGGACCUGUGGCCAUGUGUUCACAACAGCAGCCAUUACAGGUGUUUCCUGAACUCUUGUCGCGAGCCUCUGUCGGCUCCAUCUCAUCGAUCCUCCCAGCAACCCACAAGGAAGGUGAGGUUUCUUUACAGAUGAGGAAACUGGGGCGUUUGGCUAAAGUUGUUGAUUUGCCAGAGUCCCACAGCAGUGGCUUCACAGAGAGGCAGAUGCCACACAGGCCACCCACCCAGAUGCAGAGCCAGAUUCCCUGCGUGGACUGGACGGGAGUUUCCCAGCUGGAGUUCUCUCGGCCAAGCUGCCUGUGACAUGGGGUUGGAGGUGCUCCAGAGAGUCAUGGCCACCCCUGGAGGAAGUGACUUGUGGCUGACUGCUCAAGGGGAAGUCCUGUGGCAGUGGAGUCGUCAGCAUUAAUUCAAAUAAGGUGAGCAACAAGGAAUACCGAGAGGAGGUUUCCACACCAUGAACAAACAUGGCACCAGGAUCUGGAAGCUCCGGGCUUCUCCGUCUUCUAGAAUUCUGGGAGCCUCACAUGGCCCCCUCCUUGGCGAGUG